ACAUGACAUUUGCAUCAUCACCAUCAUCAUUUGCAUUUGCAUCCUUAACAUGACAUCUGCAUCAUCACAGCACAUCAUAUCAGAAUUGUCACCAUACACAUAACAACACAUCAUCUCAUAUACCGAAAUCAUCACCAUAUGAAACAACACAUAUCAAAAGUCACCAUAAAACGCAUAACAACACAUCAUCUCAUAUCAAAAUCAUCUCCACAUAUGUAACAACACAUCAAAUCAUAUCAAAAGCAUCACACAACACAUCAUCUCAUAAUCAAAAUCGUCACCAUAUGAAAAUGUCCACCAUAUAUACGUAACAACACAUCAAAUCAUAUCAAAAUCAUCACAAAACUCGUAACAACACAACAUCUCAUAUAGCAAAACCAUCACCAUAUGUGUGACAACACAUCACAUCAUAUCAAAAUCAUUGUCAUACGCAUCAUCGUUUGCGUAUUCAUCAUAACGUAAUUGCAUAUUCCUCAUACUAUCAUCGCAUCAUAACAUCAUCAUUUGCAUAUGCAUCAUAACAUCGUCAUUUCAUAUUCAUCAUAACAUAAUUGCAUAUGCAUCAUAAUAUCAUCGCAUCAUAUUUGCAUAUGCAUCAACAUGUAACAUCAAAGGACAAGAUAUAACAUCAUUUGCACAUGCAUCAUAAUAUAUAAUUUAUCCACCAUUCUUCCUCUCGCUGCACCGUCUCAAACGACGAGAGACCAUCUUCAGAAGAGCCUUUGGGUCGUUGUGCCGUAGACACCAUGCCAUACCUAUAUCGUUUGGAAUUUUUUGGGUAUUUUACAUACUGACCUCUAGUUGAUUAUGUGGCCUAUAUCUUGAUUCUUGUGUGAUGGAGAUAAAUCUUAGGAAAGGGUGGAUAAAUUGAUUUUGUUCUUGAAAUGGCUUCUGUCCGAUUUUCUUCGUCAGAUUAUAACUGGCUAGUCAGCCGAGUAGACAAGUGUUACCAUAAGACAGUUGUGUUCGAUAUCUUUGCUAUGCAAAGAUUUCUUCAUGUAGCUUUUCCAUCGGGAGAAGGAUAAUAGUGGCAACCCAUGAAUGCUUAGAUUUAGUUGAAGCACAGGGUGGAGCUAUUUGACUAACUCAAAGCAGAAAACGCCUCACCAAAGUGUCUUGAUGAUCAAAUUCGUACUCGAAAUAUGGCUGGUAGGACCAGAAACCUCAGGCCUUGACUUUGAUCAUAUGAGGAAAACAAUUUGGAAUGGCCCGUUUGGAACUUUUUCUACUACGUCUACUGUGUUUAUGCAUUGUUCUCUCUUCAACUCCCAGGAUCACAAAAGGCUUAUAUAUAUCUUCAAGUAUGAUCAACGCAUAAAUCUCAGGCAGAAACUAGCGAACUGGUAUGUUCCUCAUAGAAUGGUAAACCGGUGACGAGAUAUGUUGAUUGCAAGCACAGGAAUUCAGCCAAAAG